GAGGACAUAGCUCAGUGGUAGAGCGCGUGCCUAGCAUGCACCAGGUCCUGGGUUCGGUCCCCAGUACCUCCA
rnacentral:tRNA from 1 species